AUGCAUUCGCUUUGCCUUUUGUUGAUUUAUGCAGCCAUCCUGUUUGAUAAAAUGUCGGCACCAGCAUCCAUUCCCUGUGGUUCCAAGAGUGUGCGAGGCAACGACAACGGUGUCGACAGGCUCAGCAGCCUGUCCGACGAUCUGCUCCACCACGUGAUGUCCUUCCUGCCGACGCCGGAGGUCGUGCGCACAAGUCUUCUCUCACCAAGGUGGCGCAAUCUCUGGAGCUCUGUUCCAUUUAUCCACAUCAACAACAAAGACUUCGUGGUUAAAAAUGAUGUGGGCAUUGCUUGCUUUGAUAACCACAAGCUGGAGAACUUCGUGGACCACUUGCUGCUCUUGCGUGACGGCACUGUUUCCUUGGAUGAGGUCCGGGUCGUCAUCACGACUCGCAGUAGUAAGAAGAGUUCUGUGUGGAUUCGUCAUGCCAUCAAGCACAAAGUUCGUCUCCUUCAUAUUUCUGGAUUUCACCACCAUCUGAUUUUGGAUAGCACAGCAAUGUUUCCUUCUCUGUACCUCAAAAGAAUCAGGCUCUGGUAUGUCCGUUUGAACGAUUGGUUCGAUAAGCCGCUGAAUUAUGACUGGCCUGUGCUCGAACAUCUAGAGUUGGAGUGUUGCAUUCUCGAUACAAGGAGGAUCUCAUCGAGCUCACUCAAGGUUCUACAUAUCAUCGACUGCAUCAUUGGCAAUGAUCUCCUGAUUGGUGCUAGGAAGCUUACCCAUCUCUCUGUCAUUGACCCAGAAUGUCGUCGUGGUGCUAUAGUUACCUGGGAUCUGUCUUCUCUAGUGUCAGCUUCGCUUAGUCUAGGGUCUGAGUUUCAUUAUGAUGAUAACACAGAAGUAGAUCAUCAUCUACUUGAUGGCCUUUCACAUGCCACAACAUUGGAGUUGCAUGCACCGUUACCUGAGCUCACAUUCGAGAGGGGUUUGCAAGCAUGCCCGAUGUUCAGCAAUCUGACGAGCUUGGUGCUGGGUGAUUGGUGCAUGGCUGCUGACUUCUACCCACUGUUCCGUAUUGUCCAUCGCUCGCCCAUGCUGAAAGAGCUAACUGUUAAGCUCAAGAUGGAGCACUGUGAAACACGCAAGGAGGUUGAAUCUGCUUCAUUACCAUCAAGGCGAGCACCGGCAAUCAGGGGCUAUCCUCGUAUCGAGAGAAUCAAGAUAUGCUGCAGCAAAGAUGAUCCUAGGAUCGGUACGUUGGUGCAGGCGCUGCUACCGAUCUUCAUCCCAGACGGGAAAAUCAAUAUCGAGGGUUACUAA
rnacentral:rRNA from 1 species